rnacentral:rRNA from 1 species
GACGAACGCUGGCGGCGUGCUUAACACAUGCAAGUCGAACGAUGAAGCUGGAGCUUGCUCCGGUGGAUUAGUGGCGAACGGGUGAGUAACACGUGAGCAAUCUGCCCUUGACUUUGGGAUAACUGCGGGAAACUGUAGCUAAUAUCGGAUACUUUCACUGGAAGGCAUCAUCUGGUGAAGUAAGAAUUACGGUCAAGGAGGAGCUCGAGGCCGAUCAGCUUGUUGGUGAGUAAACGGCUCACCAAGGCGACGAAGGGUAGCCGGCCGGGGAGGGUGGCCGGGCACACUGGGACUGACACACGGCCCGGCCUCACACGCGCGGCAGCAGUGGGGAAUAUUGCACAAUGAGUGCAAGCCUGAUGCAGCAACGCCGCGUGAGGGAUGAAGGCCGUCGGGUUGUAAACCUCUUUUAGCAGGGAAGAAGCGAAAGUGACGGUACCUGCAGAAAAAGCACCGGCUAACCACGUGCCAGCCGCCGCAGUAA